rnacentral:rRNA from 1 species
GACGAACGCUGGCGGCGUGCUUAACACAUGCAAGUCGAACGGAAAGGCCCUGCUUGCAGGGUACUCGAGUGGCGAACGGGUGAGUAACACGUGGGUGAUCUGCCCUGCACUUCGGGAUAAGCCUGGGAAACUGGGUCUAAUACCGGAUAGGAGCCAUUUUGAGUGUGAUGGUUGGAAAGUUUUUUCGGUGUAGGAUGAGCUCGCGGCCUAUCAGCUUGUUGGUGGGGUAAUGGCCUACCAAGGCGGCGACGGGUAGCCGGCCUGAGAGGGGGGACGGCCACCUUGGGACUGAGAGACGGCCCAGACUCCUACGGGAGGCAGCAGUGGGGAAGAUUGCACAAGGGGCGCAAGCCUGAUGCAGCGACGCCGCGUGGGGGAUGACGGCCUUCGGGUUGUAAACUCCUUUCGCUAGGGACGAAGCUUUGUGUGACGGUACCUAGAGAAGAAGCACCGGCUAACUACGUG